rnacentral:rRNA from 1 species
UACGUAGGGUGCGAGCGUUGUCCGGAAUUAUUGGGCGUAAAGGGCUCGUAGGCGGUCUGUUGCGUCGGGAGUGAAAACUCAGGGCUUAACCCUGAGCCUGCUUCCGAUACGGGCAGACUAGAGGUAUGCAGGGGAGAACGGAAUUCCUGGUGUAGCGGUGAAAUGCGCAGAUAUCAGGAGGAACACCGGUGGCGAAGGCGGUUCUCUGGGCCUGUCCUGACGCUGAGGCGCGAAAGCUAGGGGAGCGAACAGG